UACGUAGGGUGCAAGCGUUGUCCGGAAUUAUUGGGCGUAAAGAGCUCGUAGGCGGCUUGUCGCGUCGGCUGUGAAAACUCGGGGCUUAACCUCGGGCCUGCAGUGGGUACGGGCAGACUAGAGUGCGGUAGGGGAGACUGGAAUUCCUGGUGUAGCGGUGAAAUGCGCAGAUAUCAGGAGGAACACCGGUGGCGAAGGCGGGUCUCUGGGCCGUAACUGACGCUGAGGAGCGAAAGCGUGGGGAGCGAACAGG
rnacentral:rRNA from 1 species